UGCGGGGUGGAGCAGUGGCAGCUCGUCGGGCCCAUAACCCGGAGGUCGGAGGUUCGAAUCCUCUCCCCGCUA
rnacentral:tRNA from 1 species